rnacentral:lncRNA from 1 species
GGCUCGGGGACAUCCGCCGGGUGCGCGCGGCGCCCGCUCCACAGCACCGUCCCGUCCCGGUCGUCAGGCGCGCGGCCCGGCGUCGUCCCGGGCUCUCGGGUCCCCGCAGGUCCGCGUCCCCGCAGUCGCCACGCCGGCUGCAGACGAGCAGAGACAGAAACACGUGAGUCCCUUGCCAGCCCGGGACGCUGUCCUGCUCGCCGAGAUGGACAGCCACGAGCCCCGGACACACACGGCCGUGCACGUUUUGCCCCCACGGAAUGCCCCGCAGUCCAAAGCGCGUCCGAGAGACGCGUCUGCGCGAGGCAAGCCCGCACGCAGGGACGGGAAAAGUCAGGUCUGGCACGAGCGCCCGGCGGGUCGGUCCCCAACAAUGCGCACAGACACGCGGGUGCGCGGCGGUGCCAGCCCGCGUUCGCACACGCGUAACUCGCUGCCUGGCUACGGAACUCGCUGCAGGGCCGACCGCAAAGCGCCGGGCACAGAGCUAGAGCCAGCUCCGAAAACGUCCAGCUCCUCGAAAAUAAAAUAAAAUAAAGCACCAUUCUCACCUGAUCUUGCCAGGUCCUCGGCGGGAGGGGAAGGCUCUUACCUAGUGCAGAGCCUGGGGCCGGCCCUCCCGGCACAUGCACGCCGCUCGCAGCCGCUCCUUAGCCCGCAGAGCUCUGGCUGCGGGGCCGCCGCAAACCCCUGCGUGCUGAGCACUCGCGCGCGGGCUCCGCAGCAUUUCAGCGUCGCCGCCACCUCCACCUCCACGCCGGGACCCGCCCCCGGUGAUAUCAUGUGUCAAUCACGCGGGCUGCACGAAAACCCGGAGCAGGAUUUCAGCGAUCGUGGAUGUGGACUCGAGGACGCUCUAACAAAAGUCGAUUGCCUGCAGGAGUCCUGCGAGCGCAACUGGGGAGGAGCGGGCAUUCCAGGGCCCCUGUCAGUCGUGAGCUGUCAGCCUCCAAUUUAAGGGGACUGGUGCAGCCACCCUUAGAGUUGAGUUUAAAAAGAGUUGUGAAGAACAUUUAAAAAACAAUAACAAACCACCAACAACAACGGAAAAAAAAAUGUGUACACCAUGACACCGUGCCCCCAGAUAAAGGGAAAAGUGCAAAGUUCAGAUCAUGCGAAAUAUGAAAGUUUCAGAAAGAACAGUCAUUUUUGCAAAUGUAAUAUAAUUACACACUAAAGGGUGGGAUUUCCUGCUGUGGGGUUUUAGUGAUUGCUCCAUUUGGUUUGUGAUACGAUCCCUAAAAUUACACGGGGGGAGGGGAAGGGGAGAAAACGGGGCCCAAGUUCUUCCUGCUUUGUAAUGUUUGUAUAAUUUUGUCCAAAACACCAAUGCAUUUUAAAUGAAAUAAAAUAAGCAUAACUCAUCAGGAAGUUUUAGCUUUAGCCAUAUGUCUGUCACGGGGUGGGGGACUUUAGUAAGCUGGGAAUGCUUUUUGCGUCUUUACAUACUAUGGAAUUUGGUUAUUUAUUAUAUGGACGCUAUAGCUCAGGAUGUAGUGAAAAGGGCUGUAUGUGGAAUUAAAAAUUCCAUAGAGUUUUAAAAAUAACCUAAGACCCCCAAAAUAUUGAUAGAAAAUAUUUUUCCAGGGAAUUUUAUCAGGAAUGGUAUUUGAUAAACAAAAACUCCAUGAUCUAAAUCACCUGUGAAUGUGAGUUAGGAUAUUUUGGGUUCAAAGUAAUUUUUUUUUUAAGUCUUAACAAUUGCAGUGAGUUUUUAUAAAGUUUUUGUUGUUGUUGGCAUAAUGCAUUUGCAAGCUUUUGAAUGUUUUUAGAAUUCACGGUUAUGUGUGGAAUUACAUGCAAGGAACCCAGGACACUCCCUAUGAAGAAGAUCAGCAGUAAGAAAGUGCACUAGAAGGUAAUAGAACGUAUUAAAAGCCAAGAAGCUGUUUGUUCACCCUUCAUGCAAGGGGAUGUGUUAAAGUCAUAUUUUCAAAUGUAGAGUUGGUGGGGCUUUUGUGUCUUGUCUAUUUUUCACAGAUGUAGGAGCAUAAUGAGGUUUCUCCAGUGGAUCUGCUUUUGUUCUUUUUGUGCGUGAAGAGAUUUGCAGUGUCAAGUAAGAAAUACAGUAUCUCAUC